AACGAACGCUGGCGGCAGGCUUAACACAUGCAAGUCGAGCGCCCCGCAAGGGGAGCGGCAGACGGGUGAGUAACGCGUGGGAAUCUACCCAUCUCUACGGAAUAACGCAUGGAAACGUGUGCUAAUACCGUAUACGUCCUUCGGGAGAAAGAUUUAUCGGAGAUGGAUGAGCCCGCGUUGGAUUAGCUAGUUGGUGGGGUAAAGGCCUACCAAGGCGACGAUCCAUAGCUGGUCUGAGAGGAUGAUCAGCCACACUGGGACUGAGACACGGCCCAGACUCCUACGGGAGGCAGCAGUGGGGAAUAUUGGACAAUGGGCGCAAGUCUGAUCCAGCCAUGCCGCGUGAGUGAUGAAGGCCCAGGGUUGUAAAGCUCUUUCACCGGUGAAGAUAAUGACGGUAACCGGAGAAGAAGCCCCGGCUAACUUCGUGCCAGCCGCCGCAGUAACAC
rnacentral:rRNA from 1 species